rnacentral:lncRNA from 1 species
AAAAAGUAGCACUUGAACAUGAAAGUUGAAAAUAGGCUAGCUAUGCAAAGAACAGAAAACAAAACAUUCCUUGUGGGUAGAAUUUGACAAGUUUUAAAAACAAAAAAGAUUAUGUAGGUGGCUCAUGAUGAAAAAAGUGGAUGCCUGUACUUGACAACCCUGAACAUUUAUUGUCUACUGCUAAGGUUUCCACUACAGAUGCUAGGAAAAAAGUAUUCUCACAUCUGUCUGUCUGAUUGUGCCAGCUAAAACUGAAGAGAGGAAUAAAAAAGAAAAACAUGUUAAUACAAGGGCAAACAUGGAGAGAGUAUUUUUACAACUCAGAAAUAAACUUGUAAACAGAACUCCAAAAAAAUCUUAAAAAAAUCAAUCACUUUCCUAUAUGCUAGUAAUGAAUAAGUAGAAUUUGAAUUUGAAUUUAAAAACACAACCAUUUUCAUUAGUACCAAAAAUAUACAUAUAUAGAGGUAUAAAUCUAACCAAAUAUGUAUGAAAGCUAUAUGAAGAAAACUAAAAACCUUUGAUAGAAAUUCUGAUUGGGGAGUUCCCAUCAUGGCUCAGCAGAAACUAAUCUGACUAGAAUCCACGAGGACACAGGUUCAAUUCCUGGCCUUGCUCAGUGGUUUAAGGAUCCAGUGUUGCUGUGAGCUUUGAUAUAGGUCACAGAUGUAGCUCAGAUCUGGCAUUGGUAUGGCUGUGGCAUAGACCAGCAGCUUAGCUCCGUUUGGACCCCUGGGAACCUCCAUAUGCCAUGUGUGUGGCCCUAAAAAGACAAAAAGAAAAAGAAAAAAAGAAAUUCGGAUUAAAACUCCAAGCAAAAUCAAAGAGGAGCUAAAUACAUGAAGAGGUAUUCUAUGUUCAUAGAUAGGAAGACUCGAUACUGUCAUUAUAUCAGUUCUUCCCACCUUGAUUAUAGAUUCAAUGUAAUCCCAAUCAAAAUCCCAGUAUUGCUUUGUAGAUAUCAAGAAACUAAUUCCAAAGUUUGCAUGGAAAGGCAAAAGACCAAAAAUUGCCAACACAAUAUCGAAAAACAAAGUUGAAAAUUUGACAUUAUCCAACUAAAAGAUUUGCUAUACAGCUACAGUAAACAAGGCAGUGUGGGAUUGGUAAAAGAAUAGACCCCUAGCCUGGGAACCUCCAUAUUCCAUGGGUGCAGCCCUAAAAGACAGAAACAUAAAUAAAUAAAUAAUGGGUCCAAGACCUUAACAGAUACCUCACCAAAGGAUAUAUACAGAUGGCAAAUUAGCCUAUGAUGAAAAUAAGCAUCAGAGUCAAAAGGAAAAAGCAAAUUAAAACAAUAAAUGGAUAUCACUAAACACUUAUUAGAAUGGCCAAACUCCAGAAUAUUGACAAUACCAAAUGCUGGUAAGGAUGUGAAACCAGAGGAACUCUUAUUCAUUGCUUGUAGGAAUGCAAAAUGGUCACUUUGAAAGACAAUUUGGAGGUUUCUUACAAAACUAAGCAUACUUUUGAUAUAAGAUCCAGUCGAUUAUGGUACAACCACUAUGGAAAACAGUAUGGGUGUAUCUUAGAAAACUAAAUAUAGAACUACCAUAUGACCCAGAAAUCCCACUCUUGGGCAUAUAUCCAGAGAAAACUUUCCUUGAUAAAGACACAUGCACACAUAUGUUCAUUGCAGCACUAUUCACAAUAGCCAAGACAUGGAAACUACCUAAAUGUCCAUUGACAGAUGAUUGAAUUAAGAAGAUGCAGUAUAUAUACACAAUGGAAUACUACUCAGCCAUAAAAAAAUAAUGCCAUUUGCAGCAACACGAAUGGAACUAGGGACUCUCAUACUAUGUAAAGUAAGUCAGAAAGAGAAAGACAAAUACCAUAUGGUAUCACUUAUACCUGGAGUCUAACAUAUGCACAGAUAAAGGCACAAAUAAACCCUUCCAUAGAAAAGAAACUCAUAGACUUGGAGAACAGACCUGAGGUUGCCAAGGGGAAGUGGGAGUGAGUGGGAUGGACUGGAAAUCUGGGGUUAAGAGAUGCAAACUAUUGCCUUUGGAAUGGAUAAACAAUGGGAUCCUUCUAUAUAGCACUGGGAACUAUAUCUAGUCACUUGUGAUGUAGCAUGAUGGAGGAUAAUGUGAAAAAAAGAAUGUAUAUGUUUGUGUGACUGGGUCACUUUGCUGCACAGUAGAAAAUUGACAGAACACUGUAAACCAAGUAUAAUGGAAAAAAUAAAAAUCGUUUUUAAAAAAAUUUAGUCAUUGUACUCCUUACUAUUUAACCACACAAAAAAACUGCACACAAAUGCUUGUAGUAGCUUUAUUCAUAAUUGCCAACUGAAAGCAACCAAUACGUCCCUCAGUAGAUGAGUGGUAUGUGCAAACAAUGAAAUGUUAUCUAGCUAUGAAUGACCUAUCAAGCCAUGAAAAGAUAUGAAAGGGAGUUCCCAUCGUGGGUCACCAGAAAUGAAACCUGACUAGUAUCCAUGAGAAUGCAGAUUUGAUCCCUGGCCACUUGGUGGGUUAAGGAUUCAGCAUUGCUAUGGCUGUGGUGUAGACCAGCAGCUACAGAUCUGAUUUGACUGCUAGCCUGGGAACUUUCAUAUGCUGUGAGUACAGCCCUAAAAUGACAAAAAAUAAAGAUAUGGAAGAACCAUGAAUGCAUAUUUCUAAAUGAAAGAAGUCAAUCUGGAAAGACUAUAUACUAUAUAAUUCCAAUUAGGUGACAUUUUCAAAAGGGCAAAACUGUGGUGACAAUAAAAAGGUGUUAGUGAGGAGGCAGGGAUGAAUAUAAAGAGCUCAGAGGAAUUUUAGGGCAACAAAAAUUAUUCUGGAUGAUUUUACAAUGGUGGAUACAUGCCAUUAGAAAUUUAUCAAGACCCACAGAAUGUACAAAAGUCUAUGAACCCUAAUGGAAUCUCUAGACUCUGGUCGGUAAUGCCUUACCAAAGUAUAUUUGUUAAUUGUAAUAAAUGUACUAAUCUCAGGGAUGUUAAUACAGAGGUCACAAGGGGUAUAUAGAAAAAUGUGCACCUUCUGCUCAAUUUUUCUGUGAAACUAAAAUUGUCUAAAAAAUAAAGUCUAUCUUUUAAAAUGAGGGACAGGAGUUCCCUGGUGGCCUAGCAGGUCAAAGAUCCAGCAUUGUUAUUGCUGUGGCUCAGGCCACUGCUGUGGCACAGGUUUGAUCCCUGGCCUGGGAAUUUCCACAGGCCCUAGGUGUGGCCAAAGAUAGAUAUGUAGAAAGAUAGAUAGAUAGAUAGAUAGAUAGAUAGAUAGAUAGAUAGAUAGAUAGAUAGAUAGUAUAAAGAAUGAGGGACAAAGAAAAAGUAAAGAUAACACCUAGAUUUUUGGCCUAAGUAACUAGGAGAAUGGUGGUGAAAAUACUGUGCUGGGGACAGCAGAAGAGAGACAGGUAUUUAGGGACAGGGCAAGAAUUCCCUUUUGUAAAUCACUCUACACAAUUUAACCCUUUAAAAAAAAGGAAUUCCCAUUGCGGCUCAGUGGUAAUGAGCCUGACUAGUAUCCAUGAGGACUCAGGUUCAAUCUCUGGUCUCCUUCAGUGGGUUAAGGAUCCGGCAUUGCCAUGAGCUGAGGUUAGGAUGCAGAGCAGUUCAGAUCCUGUGUUGCCAUGGCUGUGGUACAGGCCAGCAACUGCAGCUCUGAUUUGACCCCUGGGAACUUCCAAGUGGUGCAGGUGCAACCCUUAAAAGACCAAAAAAAAAUUUAACCCUUUCUUGUGUCUAGACUUGGAAAUAGGAUUACUCCCUCCCUCUUUGUGCAGAUACUUGAGUUGCUCUAAAUUCUUCUGCAUAUCUACUCAUACAGCUAAUUACCCUCUGAUAAAGAUUACUUCACGGUCCAAGAUGAGGUCACAUUAAGAAAGAAAUGCAAGCUA